rnacentral:rRNA from 1 species
UACGUAGGGGGCAAGCGUUGUCCGGAUUUAUUGGGCGUAAAGAGCGUGUAGGCGGUUUGGUAGGUCCGUUGUGAAAACUCGAGGCUCAACCUCGAGACGCCGAUGGAAACCAUCAGACUAGAGUCCGGAAGAGGAGAGUGGAAUUCCUGGUGUAGCGGUGAAAUGCGCAGAUAUCAGGAGGAACACCAAUGGCGAAGGCAGCUCGCUGGGACGGUACUGACGCUGAGGCGCGAAAGCCAGGGGAGCGAACGGG